rnacentral:rRNA from 1 species
UACCAGCACCCCGAGUGGUCGGGACGUUUAUUGGGCCUAAAGCAUCCGUAGCCGGUUCUACAAGUCUUCCGUUAAAUCCACCUGCUUAACAGAUGGGCUGCGGAAGAUACUAUAGAGCUAGGAGGCGGGAGAGGCAAGCGGCACUCGAUGGGUAGGGGUAAAAUCCGUUGAUCCAUUGAAGACCACCAGUGGCGAAGGCGGCUUGCCAGAACGCGCUCGACGGUGAGGGAUGAAAGCUGGGGGAGCAAACCGG